rnacentral:rRNA from 1 species
GAUGAACGCUGGCGGCGUGCUUAACACAUGCAAGUCGAACGGAAAGGCCCAAGCUUGCUUGGGUACUCGAGUGGCGAACGGGUGAGUAACACGUGGGUGAUCUGCCCUGCACUUCGGGAUAAGCCUGGGAAACUGGGUCUAAUACCGGAUAGGACCACAUUUUGGAUGGUGUGGUGGAAAGUUUUUCGGUGUGGGAUGAGCUCGCGGCCUAUCAGCUUGUUGGUGGGGUAAUGGCCUACCAAGGCGUCGACGGGUAGCCGGCCUGAGAGGGUGUACGGCCACAUUGGGGCUGGGAUACGGCCCAGACUCCUACGGGAAGCAGCAGUGGGGAAUAUUGCACAAUGGGGGCAAGCCUGAUGCAGCGACGCCGCGUGGGGGAUGACGGCCUUCGGGUUGUAAACUCCUUUCGCUAGGGACGAAGCGUUAUGUGACGGUACCUGGAGAAGAAGCACCGGCUAACUACGUG